AGCAGCCGCGGUAAUUCCAGCUCCAAUAGUGUAUAUUAAAGUUGCUGCAGUUAAAAAGCUCGUAGUUGAAUUUCGGAACCAAUAUGUUGGUUGUGCCUCGGUACGUACUGGCAUUGUUGGUUUCUCCCUUCUGACGAACUAUGAUGUCAUUAAUUUGGUGUCAUGGGGAAUCAGGACUGUUACUUUGAAAAAUUAGAGUGUUUAAACAGGCUCACGCUUGAAUACAUUAGCAUGGAAUAAUGAAAUAGGACGUUUGAUUCUAUUUUGUUGGUUUCUAGGAUUGACGUAAUGGUUAAUAGGGAUAGUUGGGGGCAUUAGUAUUCAAUUGUCAGAGGUGAAAUUCUUGGAUUUAUUGAAGACUAACUACUGCGAAAGCAUUUGCCAAGGAUGUUUUCAUUAAUCAAGAACGAAAGUUAGGGGAUCGAAGACGACCAGAUACCGUCGUAGUCUUAACCAUAAACUAUGCCGACUAGGGAUCGGAUGAUGUUAAUUUUUUAAUGACUCA
rnacentral:rRNA from 1 species